AUGCAUCUGAACACACAUUCUCAUCUAGAAAAGAGAAAGACCCGUCCUGUAAGGCAGUUCUUCUGGCUGUCCUUAGUGUCUCUCUGCUGGUGGCUCUGCUGGCUGUGUGUGUACUGGGAAUUAUCUACAGCCCAUUUGAAAGGAUAAAGUACUACUAUUUCUCUUCAGAAAAACUGAGCUGGAUGGAAAGUCGAGAUUAAUGUACGAAAACUGGAGGUCAGCUGGUCACAAUAAUAGGCAAAGAUGAUCAGUAUAAUUUGGCCUCAAUAAAGCUGAAAGAGGCACAUUGGAUUGGACUACAUGAUUUGUACACUGAAGGACACUGGAUGUGGGUGGACAGCACAAUUCUCUCAGGAGAAAUGUAGAGGUCUUCACGGGUCCAAAAAUUUGUGCCGAACCCGAAAGAGACCCGUAAUGUACUACACUGAACCGACCCGGACCAUUCUAUUAUUUCAAAAGCUGGACCCGGACCCGUGUAGAUCCGAGAAAUGCCUACCCGGACCGGACCCGUCUCAGACCCGUCUAUUAUUUGAAAGCUGGACCCAAACCCGCCGGGAAGACACAGACCCGACUGGACCCGAUUGUCACAUAUUCCACCUUAAAUUGAUAUUACAAGUCAAUAAACCUGUUGCGAAAAAUACAACUUUUUGUCUUACCUAAUUUAAGGAGCCGUAGUCUCUCUUCCUUGUACUGGUCGGGUCCCGGGUCUCGGGUGCACUGUGAAGACCUCUAUAUCCAGGUACAUGUCCCAUUGUUAUAUGUUCGUAAAAUGUGCUUUUGUGAAAGUAUAUUGC
ensembl:lncRNA